GGAGGGAACUUGAGGGCGGGAAAAAGUGCAACAAGCUUAAUUGUACAGUGCUCCGUUCUUGGGAAGAGAAUAACGACGGAGAAAUGCUCAGCCCACUCACGAGCCUUGUUCGUAAAUAAAUCUAUGAACUUCGCAUCAUUUGCUGUAGAAAAAUUCCCAGAGCAAAAGUGUAGGAGACAUUUGUUUGUGAAAUGAAUGAAUGAAUGAAUAAAAUAAUAUAUUUAUACGAUCUUUAUUUGGGCGCGCUGAUGCAAAUGAGCGGAUAGUAAAGAAAGGCAGAAAGGAGCGGUGUCGUAUACAUUCCGUCGCAACGGGGAUGUUUUAUCGAAGGAAACCUUGGGAAAGCCUCGGGAAAAGUUCCACAGCCUAUGACGCACGGAUACAUGGAUUCUAUCCUUCUGGAAUAUUGCUGAUGAGACGGGUGAUGGUUGAUGGAGAAUGUGGAGG
rnacentral:sRNA from 1 species